CAGAAGAAGGAGCCAGGAGCUCAAACCCUAGCUCAUCUCAAUUUCACCAAAUUGAAGGUCCAAAUCAAGUCUAAAUCAAAAUCCGAGUACGAAUUAGUGAUCUCCACUGAAAAAGGAGUCACGAGUUUGACGCGUAACAAGCUAGGUGGAAGCUUGGAGAAGGAAGCGGGUCAAACGAAUUUAAGAAGGAAAAGAGAAGCAUGGUUUAGAUGCGAGGUAAAUGUCAAGGAUUCCCGGACGAAGACCUAGCGACGAGCAAGAACCGAACACACGUUAAAUGAAGGUUCUGCGUCAAAUCUUGAUUUGUUUUGUUAUAAGUGAAGUAUGUAAACAUUUACAAACAUGUAUUUUGAUAUGUUGUGAACAUAUGGGAAAGUUAGUAUGACAAGUUUUGUAAAGUCACAUUUUAGCAUUAAAAUGUGUAUUUUAUUAUUAAAAUCUUGAUAAAUUGA